GCCUGGAUGGCUCAGUCAGGUAAGCGUCUGACUUUGGCUCAGGUCACCAUCUCAUCGUUUGUGAGUUCAAGCCCCACCUCGGGCU
rnacentral:tRNA from 1 species